UGCCCGUGGCAGGGGGUCGGACUACAUGAUCUGCUUAGGUCCCUUCUGACCCUACCUACUAUGAAACUAUCAUUUUUAGGAAUUUUUAAGAUAAUGACACUUAAUGCUAUGGUGGCUUACAUAAAAGAUACUGUAUGUUAGCACUCCCUGCAACAACAAUAGUGAAGUGUGGAGUUGGAUGGAUAGCCAUGAGUUCUUGCAUCGUAUCAUACAUUGGCAUUAGUUCUGUAAAACCACCAGGCAACAGAACAAGGUCCUGUGUCUCCACCUUGGAGUGUAGGCAAGUGUCAUUCUGCACUUUUAUGGAUCUGCAGCCCAAGCUUGCCCCUGACCACCACACGGUCUCUUGGGAAGUGCACCUCUAAGAACAAGGCCAGGCUUCUGCUUUUGGCAGGAGGGAGCCCUGGACUCUGCUGCUCAGAGGCUGGGCUCUGACCUUAUCGCUGCUGUUCCUCACUGUGGCUCCUUCAGCCAGACGAAAAGAACCUGGCCUCCCUAUUAUUGACGGCUCUGGCACCCCAGUGUUGGCAGAAAAACAAGGCAGCUUGAAGUAAAGUGGAAUGCUAUAUUUUUGGGCCCUUCAGUUUGGAAUGGAAAAGCAAGGCUCACACCAGUGUCUUGGCAGGGAGUAGGACCUGGCUGCCUGCAUUGCAGCUCUCCCCAGUAGAACUCCUGUUACAGUCCCUGACACCUUAUGUUUUGGCUUCAUGCUCUAGCUGUGGGUCAUUAACAUUAAUGUCUGGAGGAUGACCCUCCAUUGUAUCUCAAGGGUAGCUCCAUUCAUGUGCUUACAGCUCUUGAUAGUUCGUUAUACCAACCCAGCCAUUUCUGAUUCUGGGUCCCAGAAAAGUAAUUAACCCCUUCAGUUCUGGGAAGUUGCAGUAUAAAAGCAUGUGGGGGGUCCUUUUACAAAAAUUCUCCAUAUUCUUCAUACUGUUUUAAGUGUGAAGUACCUGAAGUCACACUAGGUAACACUGGGAGAGGAGCCGUUCUCUAUCGUGGCAAAUCCACAUCAUCUCCAAGGUACCACUGCCUUUCAGAAUGAAUUUGCCAGAUUCACCAUUAGCAGCUGCAGUGCAGGCAGCACAGAAUAAAUUUGUGCAAAUCCCUGUUAAUCUCAACACCCCUGGGCCCCUCCUUACUCUAUGCCUUCCCUGCAGAAUGGGAGCUCACCCUCUCUCCUUUCAGGUUGCAAAGCAAACUGUUGGAAGUCAGGCAUGCCAGGUGUGUGGUUGCCUACACAAACAUUUGUGUUUAAGCAUUAAGUAUAUAUAUACUUAUGGGAUUACAUGCUGUCUUUUUUUUUUUUUAUAAUGCCUUCCUUGUUCAGGGCAUAAAGUAGUUGCUUGAAGGCACAGAGUAAAGGCUUCCUGGGGAAGUGUAGAUAAGGCAUGUCCUAACUCAUAUGUUUGACCUAAACAAGAUUCUUUUUAAACCAUUAAAAAUAUUCAUA